UACGUAGGCAACGAGCGUUGUUCGGAAUUACUGGGCGUAAAGAGUGUGUAGGCGGUGUUCCCAGUCUGUUGUGAAAUCUCCCGGCUUAACUGGGAGGGUGCAGCGGAAACUAGAAUGCUAGAGGGUGGGAGAGGUAAGCGGAAUUCCUGGUGUAGCGGUGAAAUGCGUAGAUAUCAGGAGGAACACCUGUGGUGUAGACAGCUUACUGGACCACUUCUGACGCUGAGACACGAAAGCGUGGGUAGCAAACAGG
rnacentral:rRNA from 1 species